rnacentral:rRNA from 1 species
GUGUCAGCAGCCGCGGUAAUACAGAGGGUGCGAGCGUUAAUCGGAAUUACUGGGCGUAAAGCGCACGUAGGUGGCUAUGUAAGUCGGGUGUGAAAUCCCCGGGCUCAACCUGGGAACUGCAUUCGAGACUGCAUGGCUGGAGUACGGAAGAGGAGGGCGGAAUUCCCGGUGUAGCGGUGAAAUGCGUAGAUAUCGGGAGGAACAUCAGUGGCGAAGGCGGCCCUCUGGUCCAGUACUGACACUCAAGUGCGAAAGCGUGGGGAGCAAACAGGAUUAGAUACCCUUGUAGUCC